GCUACGGGGGGCUGCAGUUGGGAAUAUUGCACAAUGGGCGAAAGCCUGAUGCAGCGACGCCGCGUGGGCGAUGAAGUCCUUCGGGAUGUAAAGACCUUUUUUCUGGGACGAUUAUGACGGUACCAGAAGAAUAAGCAUCGGCUAACUACGUGCCAGCAGCCGCGGUAAUACGUAGGAGGCGAGCGUUAUCCGGAAUUAUUGGGCGUAAAGCGCGUGUAGGCGGUUUUAUAAGUUUCUAAUUAAAUCUUGAGGCUCAACUUCAGAAUUGUUAGGAAUACUGUAAGACUAGAGGAUAAUCGGGGUAAGUGGAAUUCCCGGUGUAGCAGUGAAAUGCGUUGAUAUCGGGAGGAACACCAAUGGCGAAGGCAGCUUACUAGGUUAUAUCUGACGCUGAGGAGCGAAAGCGUGGGUAGCGAACAGGAUUAGAUACCCGUGUAGUC
rnacentral:rRNA from 1 species